CAUAUAACGAAGACUGAAUGGGAGAGUACGACGUCUGGAUUUUCGUCUUCAAUUUUAUUUAUUUACAAUGAGAAAUGGUGUUGGACACACGACGACGAGUGAUCGAAACAACAAGCACGCGGGGAAGCCAUUGCAAAGCUGACGUAACGCGCAUGCUCGACGAUACAGCUUCCUUGUUGCCGCUUAAUCCGCCAUUCUGAAUCAGUUCGUGGCACGUGUCCCAACCAAGCUUCGUCCUCUCGUUAAUUGCAGAAUGGAAGAGGUACGAUGUCCGGAUUAUCAAUUUUACUUACGUACAAUAAGAAGUGAUAUUCGAAACAGGACGACGAGUGGACGUAAAUUCUGUGAAUUUGUUCGUCAGCGUUAACGAUACAGUGUGGCCCAUGUUCCUAGAAAGAAGCAAGAUUGAUUUGGCUAGAGUUCAACAAAGUAGACGUCUUCCGUUUAAGUUUAUACAUUCAUUCUUCGAUUAAGCAGUGUUCUUUCAGCGAAACUUCUUUUAGUAAUUUGCCGUCAGAGUAUAUUUUUUGUUCGAUUGUACAUUUUUUGAGAAGUGCGUUUUAUAUACGUGGAAUAGUUGAUAAUUCGGAAUUCAUUCAAAUUGAUUAACGUUGAUGUAACAUUAUUUCUUUAAUUUUACAUUAGUGGAUUUUAUAUGGAUUCUUUCAACCUUCAUCGUCGUCAUGUGAUUAAUAAUCGACAUCAUCAGGAUAGGGAGGAGUUGUGCACGGUCGUCACCGCGCAGUUGAAUCUUUCUAGACGCAACCCACUUUUUAUCGAGCACUUGUUUAUGGUCGAGAUUUGUCUCGUACCAUUUUCUGUGCAUUUACGCUGGUUGCUCUGCCUUCGUCCAGCAUUAUAAAAUAACCGAGGACAUUCUACUCUCCUCCUUAUUUUUUAGACCUGCUUCAGAUGUCGUUAAUUGAUCUCACGUCGAGGACGAUCGAUGGGAAAAUCUAUGUACGCGAACGCGCUUAAUCUACAUUAUUUUAACGAGUCGACGUCCGUCUUGGAAUAUCACUGCGAAAUAAAAAUUGUAGACUUUUCGUUGAUAGUACAUGACAGAACGAAUACUGCUUAAAUCACGGAGUGGAUGUAUCAUUCGACGGAUCGUUUCCUGAUUGCUGUAAUGCGGUUGACAGUUCUUUAGCCAUCGAAAUGUUACAAGCACGUGGGGAAGCCAUUGCAAAGGUGACGUAAUGCGCAAGCGCAGCGGUCCACAGCCUCCUUGCUGCCUCAGAAUCCACCAUUUUGAAUAAUGAUUGGCACGUGUUAUGACCAAGCUUUUUUCUUGCAGGGCGUAGAUUCUGUAAAUUUGUUCGUCAGCGUUAACAACACAGUGUGGCCCAUGUUCCUAGAAAGAAGCAAGAUUGAUUUGGCUAGAGUUCAACAAAGUAGACGUCUUCCGUUUAAGUUUAUACAUUCAUUCUUCGAUUAAGCAGUGUUCUUUCAGCGAAACUUCUUUUAGUAAUUUGCCGUCAGAGUAUAUUUUUUGUUCGAUUGUACAUUUUUUGAGAAGUGCGUUUUAUAUACGUGGAAUAGUUGAUAAUUCGGAAUUCAUUCAAAUUGAUUAACGUUGAUGUAACAUUAUUUCUUUAAUUUUACAUUAGUGGAUUUUAUAUGGAUUCUUUCAACCUUCAUCGUCGUCAUGUGAUUAAUAAUCGACAUCAUCAGGAUAGGGAGGAGUUGUGCACGGUCGUCACCGCGCAGUUGAAUCUUUCUAGACGCAACCCACUUUUUAUCGAGCACUUGUUUAUGGUCGAGAUUUGUCUCGUACCAUUUUCUGUGCAUUUACGCUGGUUGCUCUGCCUUCGUCCAGCAUUAUAAAAUAACCGAGGACAUUCUACUCUCCUCCUUAUUUUUUAGACCUGCUUCAGAUGUCGUUAAUUGAUCUCACGUCGAGGACGAUCGAUGGGAAAAUCUAUGUACGCGAACGCGCUUAAUCUACAUUAUUUUAACGAGUCGACGUCCGUCUUGGAAUAUCACUGCGAAAUAAAAAUUGUAGACUUUUCGUUGAUAGUACAUGACAGAACGAAUACUGCUUAAAUCACGGAGUGGAUGUAUCAUUCGACGGAUCGUUUCCUGAUUGCUGUAAUGCGGUUGACAGUUCUUUAGCCCACGUGGGGAAGCCAUUGCAAAGGUGACGUAAUGCGCAAGCGCGGCGGUCCACAGCCCCCUUACUGCCUCAGAAUCCUCGUUGAUUGCAGAAUGGAAGAGGUAGGACGUCCAGAUUUUCGUCAUCAAUUUUACUUAUUUACAAUAAUAAAUGGUGUUCGACACACAACAACGACUGGAUGUAGACGUGAUUUCUUUCGUUAUUGUUGACAUUACAUCGUGGCUAGUUUUCUUAAAAAUAAGCAAGAUGAAUUUAGUUACAUUCAAACAGAAUUGACAUCUUGACAGUACGAACGCUACUUAAAUCGUGGAAGGAAGCGUUCCUUGAUCUAACAACCAGCUAAGGAAUCAUUAUUUUCGAUGAUAGAAAGAAAGAAGUAUAAAGUUCAAAAUUUUCGUCAUCAGUUUUACUUAUCUAUGAUAAGCAAUGGUAUUGGACACAGGACGACAACUGAUAAGCAAUAGUUGACAUAUAUUAUUAUUUAUUUUCACGUUACCCUUUACGAUAACGUUUAGCUAAUUCUACAUUUAUUUUUUCAGGUUAUAGGCAUUGCGAUUUCGUCCGUUAUUGUUAACAAUGCAUCGUGGCCCGUGUUCCUUGAAAUAAGCAUGGUGAAUUUAGUUACAGUCGAACAGAAUUGACAUCUGUUUACACAUUCAUUCUUCGAUUAAACAGUGUUCUGUUAACGAUACUUUUACAUCCGAGUAUAUUUUUCUUCCGAUUACAUUUUUCAUUUAAUAUACAUCGAGUAGCUGAUAAUUCAAAGUUUAUUCAAGUUGGAUAACGUUAUCGUAACUUCAUUCCUUUAAUCGAUGAAAAAAUCUAUUUAAGCGAACGCGUCUUAAAUAACACUAUUUCAACGAAUCAUAUGGUCUCUCUUGAAAUAUCGCUGCGAAAUAGAAACGAUAGGCUUUUCGUCGAUAGUAUACGACAGAACGAACACUGUUUAAAUCGAAAUAUAUGUGUUAAUUGGGUCGUGGAUUCCCGGAUAGCAGUUCCUAAGUAUCACGCUCGUUAGAGCAAGAUGGUUCUUUAUUCUCUUGUCUGAUGAGGAAUACUUAACAUUUUGAUAUUUUUAUUAUAACACUAUUUUUAUUAACUUUGUUAAUUUUUUUUUUUUUUCUUUUAGGAAGCCUAUGUUGCAAUUUCGUUCUACUGUUUGGAUACGGAUAAAAGAACAAUUCAACGCUCUAGUUGGAAAUGGUCUUUGUAAAAUUGCGACUCAUGGAAAGCCACCUUCCUCUAGGAUCUAUCAUGAAUAUGAAGAUGAGAAAGGAAAGGAAAGGAGCCAGGAAGAUGCGAUGGAAGCAAUAACGAAGGAUGGAAUCUUGAAGAAUCUUCCAUUGGAUUAAAAUCAGCAGGAAAACAACGCUUCCUUCAUUUUACCGAACCGAAAGAAGACUCGCCUCUCCUUCGUUCGUAUUGCUUCUUUAAAUCUGCUUAAGCUCCAACGUUCUACGUAAUUCUCGGCGAUUUUGCGCACCCCUAAGCGUUUCUGCGUGACACCCUAAGCGAUCCUGCGAUACCCUAAGCGUUUCUGCGACACCCUAAGCGUUUCUGCGAUACCCUGAGCGUUUCUGCGAUACCCUGAGCGUUUCUGCGAUACCCUGAGCGUUUCUGCGAUACCCUGAGCGUUUCUGCGAUACCCCGAGCGUUUCUGCGAUACCCCGAGCGUUUCUGCGAUACCUCGAGCGUUUCUGCGACACCCCGAGGGUUUCUGCGACACCCCGAGCGUUUCUGCGACACCCUGAGCGUUUCUGCGACACCCUGAGCGUUUCUGCGACACCCUGAGCGUUUCUGCGACACCCUGAGCGUUUCUGCGACACCCUGAGCGUUUCUGCGACACCCUGAGCGUUUCUGCGACACCCCUGAGCGUUUCUGCGACACCCCUGAGCGUUUCUGCGACACCCCUGAGCGAUCUUGCAUGAUACCCUAAGCGUUUCUGCGAUACUACCUUGAGCGUACCUUGGAUACCCUAAGCGAUCUUGCACGAUACCCUGAGCGUUUCUGCGACACCCUCAGCAAUCCCUAACGUCGUAUUCUGUUUAAUUCUCAGCGUUUUGCGUAACCACCAGCAUUUCAAACGAUUCCCCUGCUUUAGUCUUGCGCAUAAUUGCGAUGUUUUACGAAAAAUUACAAGAUAGAAACAAAUUUGUUAGAAUCAUUGUUAUAAUAUUGUUGGAGUUUAUAGAGCGUUGAAAAAAAGAAACUUCAAUUGGAAGGUAGUACAUCAGUUGAUUUUUUCUUUCCGGAAUGUUAACAUAAAAUUGUUUUAUACUUCACAAGAUAUUACGUGCGGUGCAACGUUUAAGCGGUUGUAUUAUUGUUUAAAUCUUAUUUUAUAUCGACCAAUCAUAUAUUAUAGAUUCUUUAAAUAAUUGUAAAGUGAUAGAAAGCAUACAUAAACUUGGGUGCGUUAAGAAAACUAUUAUUGAAGUAUAAUUUUAUAUCGAACAAACGUAUAUUGUAAACCGUUUAAAUAAUUGUAUAGUGAUAAGAAGCGUAUAUAAACAAUGGUGCGUUGAGAAAAAUAUUUAAAUAUAAUUUUAACUCGAGUAAACGUAUAGUAUAGAAUGUUCAAAUAAUUAGUUAAACUAAUAGAAAGUAUACAUAAAUUCUGAUGCGUUGAGAGAAUUAUCGUUUAAUUAUAAUUUUAUACCGAACAAACGUAUAUUGUAAAAUUGUUUAAAUAAUUGUAAAGUGAUAGAAAGCAUACAUAAAUUUGAUGCAUUAAGAGAAUUUUAGACCACCGUUGGGCGUAUCGAAAACCGUCGUCCAGUAUUUAUCCGUAACAACAAACAUCUUUUUAGACAAUUCUUAGGAUAUCGCGUGACCCCAGCUUCGCGAAUAAUUGAAAUGCUCAUAUACUAAAAAAGAAAAAAUAUUAUUUUUAUCAUUGUAAUAAGAAAGCGUCGAAAAAAAGGAAGGCAGUAUGUAAGCAGAUUUCUGUUCUGCGAAACGUUCGAUUAAAAUUAUUUUCUACGUACUACGAGCGGUAUAAAGCUUGAGCGGCGGGGUUGUAUUCUGUAAAUAUUAGUUUGAUACUACCGAGCGUACAUAUGUAGCGUACAUUGCUUAAAUGAUUGUAAAACGACAAAAAAUAAAAAUGAUCUAGGUUUAGCGCGGUUCAACGCGGUCCAACGCGUGUACCGGAAAUUUUAGGGCAUGGUAGAGCGUUUCAACUACCGUGAAUCCAUUCGUGCGUAAUUAAGCGUGUUGCGUAAUUCCGAACAGAUUGGCGUAACCCUUAGAAAUAUUGCGUAAACCCCUAACCCUUAUUUAGGUAAAUUCUCUGGCUCUGCCAGACGCAACGCAGCGAUUUCGCCCACUACGUGGUUUGGCGUAAGUAUCCAUUUGGCAAGGUAUGGUUUUUUUACACGUAAGUCCUAUCGAUUUUUCGCAACGUCCGACGUGGACACCCAGAGUUUUGUCUUUUUCAGGUUAUCUGCAACCUCGGAGUUAUUCAUUUACCUACAUACUAUCGAGAUUACUGAAGCGAUGGUAUUUUUUUUUUUGCAUAAUGUUAAGGGCAUUGCGUUGUUUUGAACGAAUGCGCGUAAUCAGUAGUUUCUUUUUUUUUUUGUAUGAAGCCCACCGCAUCUAUAUAAUCCUUACAAAUUUUGUGUAAACCUUUGCGUGUAUUCAGCCGAACUUCUGUGGUCUAACUUCGGUGUAAUCCAGACGCGACCCAACGAUUUGCAGUAAGUAUUUUUCUCACUUAAAUGCCUUUAUGUUCGUUCCGUAAUUCUACGCGUGUUGCGUAAAUUGCAUAGUAUCUGCAACCCGCAGCUCAUUUUCCUAGGUACCAGCGAAGUUAUUUAAACUGCGGCAUUUUUUUUUCAUAGUUCGGGAUAUUUUCGUUUUAUCCGAAGAAUCCGCGUUUUUAUAUAGCCUAACGUCUCUGUGUAAACCGUGGCGUGUAUUUAGCUUCAUUUUAGCGUGUCUACUUAACUCUAACGUUUCCACAUUAUCACUUAGUUAUCGACCGUAUUUUUUUUUUUUUAACGUGAUCUCUAUUCGUCGCGUAAUUCUUCGCGUAUAUAGUAAUUUGGAGGGUAUUUAGAGCCCUAGCUUAUUUUCCAUGAUACUGGAUGGGUUACUUACCCGACAGAAUAUUUGCAUAGUCUCAGGGGUACUUCCGAUGAAUCGUUGCAAUGUCAAACUUCUUUACAACGCCAAGCGAUUUUGCGAAACCUUUGCACGAUUUGAAAGCCCUAGUGUAACGUAGCGUAACGUAUUUUUACAUAACGAUCCCGAGAUUUGUCGAAAGUAUUUCUUUUUUUCAUAAUGGUUGUCGGAGGUUUUUCUUUUUGACAUUCUUAACAGCUGCGUUAUUCGUAGAAUACUCUAAGCAGCUUAUUUUCGUAGAUACUAGCUAGGUUAUUGAAACGACAGCAUUUUUUCUUUUUUUCUUUUUUAUAAUUCGUAGGGCACUCGUUAGAUCCGAUGAAUCUGCGUAAAUACUAGGAUUUUACUCGAUGACCGUGUACUUUCAUGUGUAUCUGCAACUAUCAGCUUAUUAAUCGAAGAUAUUACCGAGGUUAUAUGAUCGACUGUAUUUAUUUUGCGUAAUCUGUGGGGCACUCGCGUUAUUUCCGAAGAAUCUGCGUAAAUACUAGGGUUUUCAGGAAAUGCAGCGUUUCUGUGUAAUCCUUGUAGAUUUGGCGUCGGUAAUAGGGCGUAUUUAGGUGGCCUCCGAGAAUGCGGCGUAAUCCGAUUGUUUCCGCGUUACCACCCUGUGAUUUCGCGUAAGUACUUGCCUUUGUACGUAAUACUUGUGUAAAUUCCUGUCGGUUUUCGAUAACUCGUAGAUGACCGUGUAGUUCCCGUGUAUUUACAACUGUCGGCUUAUUAAUCGAAGAUAUUACCGAGGUUAUUUAAUCGACUGCAUUUUUUUUUUGCAUAAUCCGCGGGGCACUCGUUAUAUCCGACGAAUUUGCGUAACUACUAGCAUUUUCAUAAAGUCCGGCAUUUCUGCGUAACCUACAGAUUUUACAAAAAUCUAAGUACGCAAUCUACAGCGUGGGACUUAACCCCACUGUUUUCGCUUUACCAUCCGGUGAUUAGAAGUAUUUGUCCGUUUUCUUUUUAGGUAAUCCCUCGGUUUUUCAAUAGUUCCUAACGUACCGACGUAGUUCCUAGGUUUAUCAGCAAUACCCAGGUUAUUUUCUUAGAUACUAGCGAGGUUACUUAAACGACAUUUUUGGCCUCCGAGCUUUCUCCGUAAUCUCAUUUUUUUCCAGGAUAUCUGUAACGAUCAGCUUAUUCUAGAUAUUAACGAGGUUAUUUAGUCGAUAGCAUUUUUGAAUAGUCCCUGAGGCGGUUGCAUUAUUUACGUAGACUAUACGAACUACCAGCAUCUUUAUAAAGCUCAUCGUUUCUGGGUAACCCUUACAGAUUUUGGCUUAUCCGACUGGCGAUUUGAAGUUAUCCGUAGUACCCAUCUUAUUUCCCUAGAUUCUAGAGAGGUUACUUAAACGACAACAUCGUUGCAUAAUCCCAGGGGCAUAUUCGUUAUUUCCUACGAAUCAAGUAACGACCAGCGUCUUCAUAAAGUGCAGCAUUUCUGUAUAUCCUCAUAGAUUUGUCGUCAAUCCUAGAACGUAUUUAGGUGGCCUCCGAGCGUCAGGCGUAACGUCAUAGUGUCCGCAUAAGCGAAUAAAUUUGUUUUUACCUAAUGCUUGUCAAAAUGCUUGUCGAUUUUGCAUAAUUCCUAAAUGUCCGUGUAAUUUCCACGGUAUCUUCAUCCACCAACUUACUAAUCCUAGAUAUUAACGUAGUUAUUUAAUAAACAGCAAUUAGCAUAGUCCGUGGGGCGUUUGCGUUAUUAUCGAAAAAUCGGCGUAACCACCAGCAUUUCCAUAAAGCUCGUUUCUAUGUAACCCUUACAAAUUUUGCAAAAAUUCUAGUACGUAUUAUGGUGGUUUACAGUGGUUCGACGUAAUUCCACAGUAAUCGCAUAAAAACCAUCCAGUGAUAUGAAGUAAUUAUUUUUCUUAUGUUCCUCUCUCUUAGGUAAUCGAUUGGUUUUUCCUGUUUAUCUGUAAUGCCCAGCUUAUUUUUCUAAAUAUUACGUAGAAUCGAAAAAUGACAACAUAUUUGCAUAAUCCCAGGGGCACCGCCAUAUGGGUGUGAACGUAAGUGUGUACGUACGAAUGAGAGCGUAGAGUGCCUCUACCGGCCAUUUUCUAAAACAGGUAGCAGGCCUCCGUAAUUUCCGUGUAAUCACUCUCAGACUGAUUUUAGUGUCUAAUAUUUGUUUCAUUUUAUUGUAUACUAUUUGCCUGAUUUUAUUGUAUAAUAUUUGUCUCAUUUUAAUAUAUACUAUUUGUUUAAUUUUAUUGCAUGAUAUUUGUGUGAUUUUAUUAUAUAAUAUUAAACAGAGGAGAAACUAUAAGUAGACAUCAGAAUUUGAAUGUUUGUGAUUGAUCAUUUAUACGACGCCUUUGAAUAAUCGUCUAAAACGAAAACGGUUACAUCAAGCUUGCGUCUUUAUUGAAUAAGAGACACGACUGAGCUUCAAUGACAUUCCGCCUGCAGUACGUCUGAUUUGCGUUCAGUAUUCUAUCAGACUUCCUUCUGUUUCAUGUUAAAUUAUGCGGCAUAAGCUGUGGAAAGAUUGUAAAAGAGACGUAUAAGAACUGUAUGAGAGUUGUGCAAAAGUUGUGUGAGAUGUCCAAAAUGUGUGUAAAAGUUGUGUGAGACUUACAUAAAAGGUGCGUACAACUUGUGAAAAAAUUCUGUAAAAGUUGUAGAAAAAGUAUUAUCUGAAGGUUGUGUCUGAGGUUGUGUCUGAGGUUGUGUAUGAAGGUUGUGUUUGAAGGUUGGGUCUGAGGUUGUGUCUGCAGGUUGUGUCUGAAGGUAGUGUCUGAAGGUUGGGUCUGAGGUUGCGUCUGAAGGUUGUGUCCGAAGGUUGCGUCCGAAGGUUGUGUCCGAGGUU